rnacentral:lncRNA from 1 species
CGCAAAACCCUGCUUAGAGAACAAGAGAGAUGUGGGCACAAACCGAGCUGCUGAGGUGCGCGAUGGACAGAUCAUGCAGGCUGCUGAGUAGAGAGAGUGAAGUCAGCAAAGAAGACAAAAAGAACAGCCAAGAAGGCAGGAGGAAAACCAAAAUUGGUCACAGAAGCCAAAGAAGUGUGUGGAAAAAAAAAAAGGAAUGGCCAACUUUAUCGGAUGCUGCUGCUCGGUCAGGGGAGAUGAGAACAAACUUCCACUGAAUGCAGCAGCUUGGAAGUUCUUGGUGACUGUUUGGGGCAGAAUUUCUCUUCCAGUAACCAUGUCAUUAUUUUAGCUACUAUGGAAAUAAAUAUUAAUAAAUUUA